GCGGGUGUGAGAGCACGACCCGCGCCACUGGCACUGAGACACUGGCCAGACUCCUACGGGAGGCAGCAGUGGGGAAUAUUGCGCAAUGGGCGAAAGCCUGACGCAGCGACGCCGCGUGGGGGAUGAAGCUUCUCGGAGUGUAAACCCCUUUCGACCCGGACGAAUGACCCGCAAGGGUUUGACGGUACGGGUAUAAGAAGCCCCGGCUAACUACGUGCCAGCAGCCGCGGUAAUACGUAGGGGGCCAGCGUUGCUCGGAAUUACUGGGCGUAAAGGGUUCGUAGGUGGUGCGGCAAGUUGGGAGUGAAAUCUCUGGGCUUAACCCAGAGGCUGCUUUCAAAACUGCCGCGCUCGAGUGCGAGAGAGGUCAGUGGAAUUGCAGGUGUAGCGGUGAAAUGCGUAGAUAUCUGCAGGAACACCCGUGGCGAAGGCGGCUGACUGGAUCGCAACUGACACUGAGGAACGAAAGCUAGGGGAGCAAACAGGAUUAGAUACCCUGGUAGUCCUAGCCCUAAACCAUCGGAACUUGGGGUGGCCCGCGUAGGCGGGUCGUCCCGUAGCUAACGCGUUAAGUUCCGCGCCUGGGGAGUACGGUCGCAAGAC
rnacentral:rRNA from 1 species